AACGAACGCUGGCGGCAUGCCUAACACAUGCAAGUCGAACGAGACCUUCGGGUCUAGUGGCGCACGGGGGCGUAACGCGUGGGAACCUGCCCUUAGGUUCGGAAUAACUCCCCGAAAGGGGUGCUAAUACCGGAUAAUGUCUUCGGACCAAAGAUUUAUCGCCUUUGGCUGGGCCCGCGUUGGAUUAGCUAGUUGGUAGGGUAAAAGCCUACCAAGGCGACGAUCCAUAGCUGGUCUGAGAGGAUGAUCAGCCACACUGGGACUGAGACACGGCCCAGACUCCUACGGAAGGGAGCAGUGGGGAAUAUUGGACAAUGGGCGAAAGCCUGAUACAGCAAUGCCGGGUGAGUGAUGAAGGCCUUAGGGUUGUAAAGCUCUUUUACCCGGGAUGAUAAUGACAGUACCGGGAGAAUAAGCUCCGGCUAACUACGUG
rnacentral:rRNA from 1 species